GUUAUGGCUGGCUACAGGAUUCCAGCUAGCUAACGUUAGGGAAUAAGCUAGUUAGCUACACGAAAAUCGAAACCAUGUUUUCGGCGUUGAAGUUCUUAACGUAACUAGUUGCUAUAUCAGGCUAAUGAUUUGUGAAAUAUACGCUGGUUAUAAAUUAUUACAUGAUCGCCUAUAUUAGUCGGUCACAUGUAGAGUUGUUGAACUACGAGGAAGGUGCGUGCCAGUGGUGUUGGCGAGCAAGUGGACCACCACCGACUGCACCUCCAGAACUGUAGAGGGAGUCACUGCACCUGCAGGAUUUGGCUGAGCCUAGCUGAGUGCUGCAGUGUGUCCACCCAGGGAGGGAACCACCAUGAGGCAGCUGAAGGGGAAGCCCAAGAAGGAGACGUCCAGGGACAAGAAGGAGCGUAAGGCGGCCAUGCAGGAGGCCCGGUCGCAGGUGGCCACAGUGGUUCUACCCACGCUGGCUGUGGUGGUGCUGCUCAUCGUAGUCUUUGUCUACGUGGCCACCAUGCCCAGAGCCAUAGAGUAGUGACCGGUUCCACACCCCUCACCUUGGCCCUAACCCCUCAAUGUUAGUAUGUCUGUAGGUUCUUAAUAGGUGUAAGCAGUGUCAGGGUUCUCCAACGCUGUUUCUGGAGAGCUACCAUCCUGUCGGUCUUCACACCAACCCUGUUCCUGGAGAACCUAAACCUACAGGAUGGUAGCUCUCCAGGAACAGCGUCGGAGAACCCUGAGCAGUGUAGUAGUAAUUCCACCAUAGGAGCAAUAUCUAAUAGAUCUGGGCCAAGGGGAAGGGUAGGGACCGGCUCUAAGAUGGCUGGGCCCCAAUGGGGAUGCAUGCCCCUGCCCUACCACCCUGGACUGGGUCCCAAUUUACCCAGAGACUUGCUGCACCCAAAGGAUGACCCCAACCACCCCUUCCCCUGACUGCCAGCUUAACAUGCAUAUAGACCUUUUCUGGUCACUCAUCCCAUCCUCACCCCGUUCCACGUUUUCGCUCUCAUCCCUUUCUCUCAGAUCGAUCUGUCUGUCUGUGUGGUCCUCAGAGACCUGCCAUUUGUCUUAAUUGAUGCUUCCUCCCAAGUGCAGUUUUGCCACUAGAGAAUUGAGCUGCAAAAAAAGUAUUACAGUAGUGGCUUCAUAGGUGCCUUUUGAUGGAUGAUGUGUGGCAACUAAGGCAGCCAUGUUGGCUCAAGGGCAGAACUUAUAUCCAUUACAUCAGUGUUUGCCAACCCUGGUCCUCCAGUACCCCCAACAGUCCAACCCUGGUCCUCCAGUACCCCCAGGGUUGGACUGUUGGGGGUACUGGAGGACCAGGGUUGGACUGUUGGGGGUACUGGAGGACCAGGGUUGGGGAAACACUGCAUUACAUGUCUAUCAAUCACUCUGUAACGACGGUAGGAUUCAUUUUGGCUCUGGUGCUGUCUUAAAGAGUUUCAAUUUCCUGUUUACAAGAGGACUUUUAGGGCAUAGCUUGCCAAGUUUGACCUGGGGAUGUUUUAAUCAGGCGAAAGGUUGAGGACGUGUGAUAAGAUGAAUUAAUCUACUGGCAUUGUUGAGCAAUGUGUUAAGAUUAUAGUCACAUGACAAAGUCCAGCAGUCCAAGCUAUGUCUGUAGAAUGUAUACAUCCACAAAUGUGUGAUUUGAAGAAAAAGAAAUGUAUUUUAACAUGCCAGCAUUGGUCCUGUCUGUUCGAAUAGUUGAAUGCAACUCAGGAUUUUGUCCUGAUUGAAUGUGGUGUUUGUACUGGACAGAUUGCGAAUAUGUCACAGGAGAACAUAAUGACACUAUUCCAUGUACAAUCCCAGCGCUACACACUUUGUACCUUUUUUUUAAGCUACUGACAACUUUGACUUUUGAGUUGCUCAGUAUGACAUCUGUGCAGAUGAGGAAAAUAUGUGCCUUAUAAUGUUUGACAAUGAGCC
rnacentral:lncRNA from 1 species